rnacentral:snoRNA from 1 species
GUGUCAGUUAUGAUACUUAAAUUUGUCUUAAAAGAGAUAACACAAAAAUCAUACUCCAUAGGAUUACACUGAGGCCC